rnacentral:rRNA from 1 species
UACGUAGGGACCGAGCGUUGUCCGGAUUCAUUGGGCGUAAAGGGCUCGUAGGCGGCCAACUAAGUCGGACGUGAAAUCCCUCAGCUUAACUGGGGAACUGCGUCUGAUACGGGAUGGCUUGGAUUUGGGAGAGGGAUGCGGAAUUCCAGGUGUAGCGGUGAAAUGCGUAGAUAUCAGGAGGAACACCGAUUGCGAAGGCAGCUCGCUGGGACGUAACUGACGCUGAGACGCGAAAGCGUGGGGAGCAAACAGG